UACGUAGGGAGCAAGCGUUGUCCGGAAUCAUUGGGCGUAAAGCGCGCGUAGGUGGCCCUGUAAGUCCGUUGUGAAAGUCAAAGGCUCAACCUUUGAAAGCCGAUGGAUACUGCAGGACUAGAGUACGGAAGAGGCGAGUGGAAUUCCUGGUGUAGCGGUGGAAUGCGCAGAUAUCAGGAGGAACACCAAUAGCGAAGGCAGCUCGCUGGGACGGUACUGACGCUAAGGCGCGAAAGCGUGGGGAGCGAACAGG
rnacentral:rRNA from 1 species